rnacentral:tRNA from 1 species
AGAGAAGUGCCUGAAAAAGGAUAAUCUUGAUAGGGUUAAUUAUGCAAGACUAAGCUUGCCCUCUCUA